rnacentral:rRNA from 1 species
AACGAACGCUGGCGGCAUGCCUAACACAUGCAAGUCGAACGAGACCUUCGGGUCUAGUGGCGCACGGGUGCGUAACGCGUGGGAAUCUGCCCUUGGGUUCGGAAUAACAGUUAGAAAUGACUGCUAAUACCGGAUAAUGUCUUCGGACCAAAGAUUUAUCGCCCAGGGAUGAGCCCGCGUAGGAUUAGCUAGUUGGUGAGGUAAAGGCUCACCAAGGCGACGAUCCUUAGCUGGUCUGAGAGGAUGAUCAGCCACACUGGGACUGAGACACGGCCCAGACUCCUACGGGAGGCAGCAGUGGGGAAUAUUGGACAAUGGGCGAAAGCCUGAUCCAGCAAUAGCCGCGUGAGUGAUGAAGGCCUUAGGGGUUGUAAAGCUCUUUUACCCGGGAUGAUAAUGACAGUACCGGGAGAAUAAGCCCCGGCUAACUCCGUGCCAGCAGCCGCGGUAAU